rnacentral:rRNA from 1 species
UACGUAGGGUGCAAGCGUUGUCCGGAAUUAUUGGGCGUAAAGAGCUCGUAGGCGGUCUGUCGCGUCGGCUGUGAAAACCCGGAGCUCAACUCCGGGCCUGCAGUCGAUACGGGCAAACUAGAGUGUUGCAGGGGAGACUGGAAUUCCUGGUGUAGCGGUGAAAUGCGCAGAUAUCAGGAGGAACACCGGUGGCGAAGGCGGGUCUCUGGGCAACAACUGACGCUGAGGAGCGAAAGCGUGGGGAGCGAACAGG